AGGAGGACAGAGAUGACUCACUCAAGCAAAAAAUGUUUCUUUUUUAAAGGAACAGAUGCCCAAUUUCCAGCCAUUCAGAAGAGGUGUCUAUGUGACUGUUUAUGUCAGAAUUAAUCAUGUGCAUGGUCCUUAGUCCCAGGGAAGCUGAAAGACCUGGAGGUGUUGCCGUUGCUGUAUGGACAUGGAAAGCUGGCUCCUGCCCAGCACACAGUGAGGACAGGUCUGCUUUAACUCAAUCUCCAAGUGGUUUCCACCCUCUUGAAUCUCAGAUCUGAAAGCAGAUUUGGACCUGUAAGUGUCCCUAAGAAAGCCAAGAAAGUCCCAACCUCAGCUCAACUGCAACACACCCUUCCCAUUCAUCUGGAUGUGACACUCUUCAAAGAUAAACACUGACAGUGAAACCAAAAUCCCCUGAGUGUGCAUGCCGUUUGUUGCCAACUUGGGAGAUUGUAUGUAACUAACACAUGGGCCAGGGUGGUAUGGUUUGUGGAUUCGAUGGGGCCACUCCUUCCUCCUCGACUCUCUGGCAGCUGUCAUUGGCUACUGCCUUUGACUCCUCCACCAGAGUGUGGCAAGGGAAAGGAAAAGAGAUUCCAUUCACAUCUAUCUCAUUCCUUUCUGGGCCUUGUAGGGAGAGACUCAAAGAGUUGUUUAAGACAAAGAUUUUAGCAGCUGCGGUUUUAAGUUUUUCUUUUGGUAUUGAAAUGAUUAGACAGUCAUGGGGCGUUUACAAUGACUGACCUCAACCUGCAUAUUCUGAAGCUUGUUGAUUGCCAACACCUAGCCCUUCCGCUUUCUCAAA